GCAGCCCUCCACCCUAAAAGAAACCGAGACAGGGAUGAGUCAGGACAUUCCAUCCUGGCCGACUCACCCUGCCUGCCUGGGAUCAGAGUCAGCCAACACCCAUUCCAAACACACUGGUUACACCGGCCAGCCGCCACCCUUGUGCUGAUACCCACCCAGCUCUGCCUUUCAGGGUGGCACCUGCCUUACUAUCCCUCGGAGGCCCACACCCUCUCUGCAGCUUUACCCUCUACGUUCACCUUCCCAAGGAAGGACAGAAACAGAUGACCCUGGCCCCUGGGAAGCACCUCCAGAUCUCAAGAGUCAGGUUGCUUGCCCUGACAGAAGCCAGCUGCAGUAUCAGGGUAUAUUCCAGCAGCCCUGUGAAAAGCCCAGUGGUAAACUGAGGUCUCCAGUUGCUGGCAGUGUGUGUAAGCCUCCUUGGUAUUGGGAUCCUCCAGCCCCAUUCAAGCCUUCAAACGACUGCAGCUCCAGCCCACAGCUUGAGUACAACCCCAUGAGAGACCCUGAGCCAGAACCACCCAGCUAAGCUACUCCCAUAUUCCUGACUCACAGAAAUGGUGAGAUAGUAAAUGUUGGUUGUUCUAAGUCA